UAUAUAUACACACACACAUAGGCAUACAUGUAUAUACAAAAGUUGUACCAUAGCAGCAUCUUUUCCCUUAAACCACAGCUAGCAGAGCUGCGUUUGUCUCUGACAGUUGCGUUUCCACAUUAGCCUUUCCUAACAAGGGGCAUUUAAGUAAAACAAGGAAAAGGCCAUUUCAUAAGAUGUGACUCAGAGGAAGAUUUUAGUGUUUCCAUAGCGAAUAUUGUUGGAAUUUUUCUCGGGAAGAUUGUGGACUAUGGCUGCGGUUUGAAGCCCUGUACAAGGUGCCGUGCAGAGAAAACGGGUCUUUAAAGCAAAGCUGGGAAGUUGUCAGAAACCGGCGGAGCAGCAUCUGCCAGUCCGGUGGGAGAAGCUGCCUGGAGACGGGACCGGACGAAACCCGGGAGGAAGGGGGGAACGGGCCUGGAGGUGCCGCAGAGGGUGACGAAAGGAAAACGCUGAAAUCCAGACGCGGGAAAGGGGGAGUCCGUGCGUAACAGGUGACAACUUAUCUAUAACGUUGUUAGAGGAAAAAGAAAGUAGAGGGGACAGCUGGAACAGAGCGAGACAAGAGAAACGGGAAGGAAAGGAAAUACCCCGAGAAAGGGGAUGGGCAGGAGAACGCAAAACCCUUAAAAUGGCUGAGAGCCGGCGCGGUUACACGCUCUCCAAAGGCCUCGCGGGCAGGCGGCAGCGCUCACGCUCGUCGUCAGCAGCGCGGUGCCGAGGCUGGUCCGCGCGGUCGGGGCUGGGGAAAGGGCCCCCAAGAGCCCGUGUUGUCUUCACUGCCCCUUUUACAGCUUUAAAAACUGGAUUUCUGCCUAAAGCAGCCUUCGGUGGCCUUGGUAUCUUUUUAGCUUCAAACAGUUUGUUUGAAAGGUGUGCGACAUUUAACACCAAGUGUGUUGUGUCCCUGCGUUACCAUACCACCUGCGAACAGAUGAGGGCGCGAGACCUGGACGCAUUAGACCGAUGCACCUGCGUUUGCGCGCUCGACCCGGGUCUGUUCUUGCCCCUCGGUUACCGACAGCUCCCGCGGCAGCCGGCGGGGCGGCUCCGGCGGAGGAUGCCGGGACCCGGCCGGUCCCAGCGGAGGAUGCCGGCUUCGCGCCCGUCCCCCGGUUCCCUUUCGGGGUCCUUCACUCAGCAGCUCCUGUGUUCCAAAGGGACCAGGAAAAUCGUUACUUUUAGACAGGGAGUUUCACCUGUAUUGGGCUGUUCUGCUACUUCGAUUCCGGUUGGGAGGCUCUUCCUUGCAGACAGUGAGGAAGAGCUCCGUGUGCGGGAGGAAGAGCGCAAGCAGCGCAUCCCCGCCGCGGGGCAACCGGCUCCGGCGGCCCCAGAACCGCGGGCGAACGCCGGACGCGCCUUCUAGAGAAACAGCCUCCGGGCGGGCGGUUUCCCAACUGCGGAGGGAGAACAAGACGCCGAGUACAGCAAGUUAAAGAACCGAUCGUGCGGAACUCAGCACGCGGGGCCGGAGCUGCAUGCGGCAGGGACGAGCCCCCCGCCUCACACGUCUCCCGAAGGCCGCCGGCGUCAGUACAUCAGGUCCGCGGCUCCAGCACUCGCCCCCGCGUCCUUCGGUUUCGAGAACGGGAACUGCAGGCCGGCGACGCGGGCGAGGCCGGCGUUGAGGAGCUGCACCAAGCAGCAGGCCAGGACGACCCAGAAGGCGCUGUCGAACUGCUCGCUGUGCGUCUUGAAGGUGAAGCUCCCCUCCUUGAAAUUGGCGAUCUUCUCGGAGAGGUGGUGGACCUUCACCUCCGAGGAGAAGAGGACCAGCACCAGGCAGCCGCAGGAGCCUGCGAGGGGGCGGGAGGCGGGGUGACGGCGGGCCGGCGGGUGCAACGCGCUGCUGCCCCGAGCACGCACGAGGCCGCGGCCACCCCCAGCGCCGAGCCCCGCGCCCGGAGCGAAGCCAAGCCGCCCGCCCCGCGCUCACCGGCGACGAAGGUGCAGAGGUAGAGGCCGGCGGGGCCGUGCAGCGCCCGGCGCGGGCUGCCCAGGGCGUUGUAGGCGAAGAGCCCCGUCGCCGCCAGCGCCGCCGCCGCCGCCGCCGCGCAGAAGAGCACGACGCUCACGUGGAUGCUGGCGGGGAUGGCGCGGAGCAGCUCCGGGAAGACUGCAGCGGGAACCCCAAGCGUCACCGCGGCCGCCCGGAAAAGGGAAACACAGAAACGUUAGGCACGGUUUCCGGUCGGACGGGACGGUUUUGGCAGCCUACGCGCUGAUCUGACCGGCGCCCUUCCACGUGCAGCCAGAGACGACAAUUAAGUCGUCGGACGUGCAAUUAGCGAUCGAUUUUGGGGUGGUUUGAGGGCAGAUGCGCUCGGAGCAGCCGGAGCGCGGCCGGGCCGGGGGGAGCCGCCGACGUGGGCCAGCGGGUGAGUUUGCAUCGCUGGCGCUUGCCUGCUGACAACAGGCACCGAACUCUACCUUUGAUACCACGCGUUUGUAUUGCUUGUUUUAAGAAACGAUGCGGCUGCUUUGUCCCGACUGUUUCCCUUGGCGCCUGCAUUUAGAGGGCUUUUUUACACGCCAUUAAAAUUUUAUGGCUGACA